AAUAGAUACCCAGGUAGUCCACGCCGUAAACGAUGGAUGCUAGCUGUUAUGCGUAUCGACCCGUGUAGUAGCGAAGCUAACGCGUUAAGCAUCCCGCCUGGGGAGUACGAACGCAAGUUUAAAACUCAAAGGAAUUGACGGGGACCCGCACAAGCGGUGGAGCGUGUUCUUUAAUUCGAGGCUAAGCGAAGAACCUUACCAGGGCUUGACAUCCUUGGAAUUUCUCCGAAAGGAGAGAGUACUUUAUUGGACCAAGUGACAGGUGCUGCAUGGCCGUCGUCAGCUCGUGUCGUGAGAUGUUUGGUUAAGUCCAUUAACGAGCGCAACCCUUAUGAAUAGUUGCUAUUUUUCUUAUUCAGACUGCCCCGGGUAACGGGGGAGGGAAGGGGGGGUAGUGAUGUCAGGUCAGUAUUGUCCCUUACCGUCCCGUGGGCUAGAAACGCGCUACAAUGGCCGGUACAAUGCGCUGCCAACCCGGCGGAGGGGGAGCAAAUCGCAUCAAACGCCCGGUCCCGUAGUUCGGAGUAAGAGGCUGAAACUCGCCUCUUUGAAGCCGGAAUCGCUAGU
rnacentral:rRNA from 1 species